AUUGAACGCUGGCGGCAGGCUUAACACAUGCAAGUCGAGCGAGUGGCGGACGGGUGAGUAAUGCCUGGGAAACUGGCUGAUGGAGGGGGAUAACUACUGGAAACGGUAGCUAAUACCGCAUACCAUCAGAUGUGCCCAGAUGGGAUUAGCUAGUUGGUGGGGUAAUGGCUCACCUAGGCGACGAUCCCUAGCUGGUCUGAGAGGAUGACCAGCCACACUGGAACUGGGACACGGCCAAGACUCCUACGGGGGGCAGCAGUGGGGAGUAUUGCACAAUGGGCGCAAACCUAAUGCAGCCAUGCCGCGUGUAUGAAGAAGGCCUUCGGGUUGUAAAGCUCUUUCGGCGGGGAGGCGUUACUCACAGAAGAAGCACCGGCUAACUCCGUGCCAGCCGCCGCGGUAAUAC
rnacentral:rRNA from 1 species